GGGUAUGAGCGAGCGGCGAAGACGGGAGUCCCAACGGUCGCGGUUGUUUAAAAACCCGAAUAAGACGGUGACCGACCCUAUGCCAGCAUGCACUUUCCCUCAUGGCAGGUUACUGUUACAAGACACUCAUAAUGUUUACAUCUAUGACUGAAAUUAACACAAGAAGCCUUGUUCGUUCCCGACCUUUCCGGCUCAAUUGAUUUUUCCCCUAUUAAUCCCUGAUUGGCGGAUUGUCUCAAUAAAUCACUUUCGAUUGUAUGCUGUCUCGUCUCACAGCAGAUAAAUCAUAGCAUGUAGGCUCACAAGAUGCGAGCAGGCAAAAUUUACUUUCUAAUUUAAAUGCAUUUUUCCACAUACUCCUAUUUCUCACUGUGAUGAUGAUGAGGAGUUUUGGAUGAAUUUUCCUCCCGUCUCAGAAUUCCCGUCACCCUGAUCCUAAACAGAAACAUAUCGCUAAGAAAAGUCAGCAGGUCUCGCAGCAUAUGUGGCAAAAAAACAAAGUUAAAGUUUCGGGUCCAGUGACACUUGAUCCUAACUGCUCUUCCUGGUCGUCUGGCUUGACGCAGCUUCGAAAAUCUGAAUUUCCAGACCAGCGCUGUGUCCAGGGAGAAGAUUGGAAGCCCUUUCGCUGCCGGGGAGUACAACUGCACCUUCCCAGUAACCGGACAUAGCCAGUAGCGCCGCUGCUGACGGGAGGCCUGCAACUACAGCGUGUCAGGCAGCUGUUGACAUAGGGGUUGAGGAUUUCCAUUGUGCCGUCGCCAUACCGCGAUGUUUCGUCCAUUAAAGCGAAAAUGGACCUUGCCACGUUGUGUCUCUUACCAACCAGUGGAAACAUGCGGAGAAAGAGACUGAAGAAACAUGCUGGCCAACAGAAGAGCCUCAAGGAUCGUCUUAUCAAGAAAAUUGGAGAACAAAGACUUACUGAAGUGUCUUUCCAGUUUUUUCCCCUCUGCCCAUAAUCUGUUUACUCUGUUUAUCUUUGGGACGGAGACUCUGUAUGCAUAACAUGGAGUUUAUGAGGGGAUUAGAGAUUUAAUUAGUAGUACUAUAUGCUAAUUGUUUUUAAUUUUUUCUGUAGCUAGAGCAUAAUUGUAAUAAAUAAUAAUUC